rnacentral:rRNA from 1 species
AUUGAACGCUGGCGGUAUGCUUAACACAUGCAAGUCGAACGGCAGCACGGUCUGUAGUAAUACAGAUGGGUGGCGAGUGGCGGACGGGUGAGUAAUACGCAGGAAUCUGCCCUAUAGCGGGGGAUAACUCGAGGAAACUCGAGCUAAUACCGCAUAGUCUCUACGGAGUAAAGCUGGGGCAACCUGGCGCGAUAGGAGGAGCCUGCGUCUGAUUAGCUAGUUGGUGGGGUAAAGGCCUACCAAGGCGACGAUCAGUAGGUGGUCUGAGGGGAUGAUCACCCACACUGGGACUGAGACACGGCCCAGACUCCUACGGGAGGCAGCAGUGGGGAAUAUUGGACAAUGGGGGCAACCCUGAUCCAGCAAUACCGCGUGUGCGAAGAAGGCCUUAGGGUUGUAAAGCACUUUAGGCGGGGAAGAAGGUAUGUAUUUUAAGAGAUAACAUAUUUGACGGUACCCGCAGAAUAAGCACCGGCUAACUCUGUGCCAGCCGCCGCGGUAA